CUGGGAAAGUGCCUGAUGGAGGGGGAUAACUACUGGAAACGGUAGCUAAUACCGCAUAACGUCGCAAGGGCCAAGAGGGGGACCUUCUUGCCUCUUGCUAUCAGAUGUGCCCAGAUGCCAUUAGCUAGUAGGAGGUAUAUUGUCUCACCUAGGCGACGAUCCCUAGCUGGUCUGAGAGGAUGACCAGCCACACUGGAACUGAGACACGGUCCAGACUCCUACGGGAGGCAGCUGUGGGGAAUAUUGCACAAUGCCCGCAUGUCACGAUGCAGUCAUGCUGGGUGUCUGAGGAAAACCUCUGGGUUGUAAAGUACUUUCAUGGGCUCGGAGCGCGAUUUAAAUAAUAACCUUGUCACUUGAGGUUACCCGCAGAAUAAGCGCCCGGUAUCUCCGUGCCCGAAGCCGCGGAAAUAUAUAUGGUGAAAGCGCUAAUCGCCAUUACUGUGCGAAAAGCGUACGCAUGCGGUCUGUUAAAACACAUGUGACAUCCCCCGUGCUCAACC
rnacentral:rRNA from 1 species